UGUGCAGCCCAAAUCCAAAUCUGCAGUUAAAAUAGAAACCCUAAACCUAUCUUCUAAAUCAAAAUAGUUGUUGCCUCAUCCCCUUCGUUUUUUCUGGUCUUUUUUCUUUUUAGCCAUUGACAGAUUCACUUGUCCUAUUUUCGUGCAAACCUUGAACACGUUUUUAGCUCUUCUCCAUUCUCCCUCUCCGUGGUGAUUUGACCAACAUAAGAUGCCAAGAGACUCUGUGAUUUAGACAGAAAACUCUAGCUUCAAGCUUGUUCGAGUUUGUUAUUGUUCGAAUAUAGACUUUGAUCGAAGCAGCCCCGUUCACUGCCCUAUAGCAGGUGAUUUCGCCUCUUUUCCUCUAAUUUGGUGUCGAGAAAGAUUUUGCUUGUUCUAGCUAUAAUGAAGUGAUGUAUUUUUGUUCGGUUUAAUCUUUUUAGGAAUAUGAAGUCAUAUUUCUUUCGUGUUUUAGCCAUCUUGAAAUUAAGGAAUGACUUAGGAUGUGUUUGGAAUGAAGAAAAAUAUUUUUCGGAAAAUGUUUUCCAAAUCAACUCAUUUUCCUCAAAUGUAAGGAACAUAACUUUCCUUCAAAACUUAAGGGAAACAUUUUCCAAAAUUCUCUUCCAACUUCAAAUUAUAUGCUUGCCAUGAUCGCGCUUUAUCUCGAUGUAUAUAAAUUUGAGUUUAAGUCUCUUUUGUUCCGCUGUUAGCAGCCUCCGUUCUAUUCUCUGUUAGUAGAAAUGUAUGUAUGAGUUUGUUCCUUUUCAUCCUGAAUAUUUAAUAUUUGGCUAUGUAAAAAAAAGUUAAUGUUAAAGGAUCAUGGUGUGAGAAGUAAGUUUUCUUUAUAGUUCAAAUCUGUUGAAGUUGGAAUUUAAUGUUGUGUCUAUAAGGCACGUAUGGUUGCUUCAUACUUGGCUGCUUCGAGUUUGGUUCAAAAAUCGUCAUGUAUCUUGUCUGAUCCUUGCAGUUUAAUUUGUAUCUCGGAAUGUAUUUUGUGGCGUGACUUUAUUUGGCUCUAUUCUUGACUUAUUCAAUAUCGAUUAAAGUUGAAUUGUCUUACUAAUCUCUUUACCAUCUCUUUACUUGCAUGAACUUUGGAGCAAAAAUGGAGUCCGAAUUGAGGACUCUGGCCAAAAUACAGUCUCAUGGACUCGCUACCAUAAUACCCGCAUAUGGAGUCUAUAUCUUUGACUAUCCGGAAUAGCCAGCUAAACGAGUGAAACUCACUUGGAGUCGCCUAUAUCUAUUUAUAUCUUUAGCAUUUAUUUGUUUUUAUUGAUUUUUCUUAACAUGAUGAACUUACUUAUGUGAUUUAGAUGUGUUUUUAGUUUUUUUUUUCAUUCGAGAUAGUCGACAUAGGAAAACUGAUCACGUUUAAAUCUAAUUACUUAGUUACCCACAA